AGAUAGGAUUAACAAACCGUAGGUAGAGAGCCUCAGAAGUAAGGUCACUGUUAGACCAUAGUUCUGGGGUCUCAACAAAUAACCUGCAUCACAGAGUGACACAGAAGGACAAGACCUGUGGAGUAAUGUCUCUGGUGCCUGUGGGUGAGUGCUUGCUACAGCAUAUUUUUGGAAGAUGGAGACAUCUUGGAGUCAAUUCUCUCAUCAUGUGGGUUCCUGGGAUUGAACUCAGAUUGUCUGGCUUGACAGCAAGUGCCUUCACCUGCUGAGCUACCUUGCUGUCCCAGGACAUUGAAUGUAAACUUUUUGCUGUUGUUUUUCUUUGUGGUUCUGGGGGUUGAACCUGGGCCUUGUGAAUGCUGGGCAGCACUCUCCUAGAGAGGUCCCACAUCCACAACCCACACAGGCCCUUCUACUUGGCCAUGAAAGUUGGAUGCUCUUUCCAAGGUGAGCUCUUUUGGGCCUGUUCUCCAGUGCUUGUAGCCUCAUAUUGUCCUUGACAGGAUCCUCUUUUCCAGUUCUGUGCCUUCUGGGUCACCAAACCCACCAGUAUGAGUUAAACUUGUCUUGUCCCAUCAGGCAGGGGACUGACUUUGGAAGAUUGGGGCUGGAUAUACAACUAAUACUUGUGCAUUCCUACACACUUUGCAUUGAGCUUGAAGUAUUCACAGUUGGGAUAUCAACUGACCCGUUGAAAUGUCUGGGGUGCCAGGAGAGCAGCUUAUUAUGUUAUUGUAUCCAUUUUUUCAGAUAGAGAACUACUACAGGCCAAGAUUACACACAGUUUAGAAAUGAAGAGGCAGGUAUGCUUGGCAACUGAGGUGGUCAAAAUAUGUUCCAGUAAUACUUUAUUAAUGCUGAAGAUUUUGAAGUGCACAGCUGUUAAAGAGAUUAUGAGAAGUUAUGCAUUUGGCAACUAUGAUUUUUCUAUUGGAUGCCAUUUACAUACGUAGGAAAUUGAUUAGCCUAUGAAACAAGUUCUGGUCUGCUUUUCUUUGUGA